GAUGAAGAACGCAGCAAAAUGCGAUACUUGGUGUGAAUUGCAGAAUCCCGUGAACCAUCGAGUUUUUGAACGCAAGUUGCGCCCGAAGCCAUUCGGCCGAGGGCACGUCUGCCUGGGUGUCACGCAUCGUUGCCCCCCCAAACUCCGGUUUGGGCGGGGCGGAAGUUGGCCUCCCGUGCGUGCCUGCGCGCGCGGUUAGCCCAAAAGCGAGUCCUCGGCGACGAGCGCCACGACAAUCGGUGGUUUUUUUACCCUCGUUCCUCGUCGUGCGUGUCCCGUCGCCCGAACGCGCUCUUGUGACCCUCACGCGUCGCCUCAGUGGCGCUCCCAACGCGACCCCAGGUCAGGCGGGACUACCCGCUGAGUUUAAGCAUAUCAAUAAGCGGAGGA
rnacentral:misc_RNA from 1 species